CGACGUUUGUGCGCAAGCGCGACUAAAAGCGGUGGCGAGAGAGAAAAUGUGUGGGCGUUGGUUGCCUGAUUAUGUGACUGCAUAGGUACUAUGGAGGAAAAUUCAUUUUAACUCAUUUUGUAUGCGUUCGUGCCUAAGAAUGCCGGCAUUGUGAUGGGAGGUUGCGUUUUGUAUACGCUCCGAACCUUGCUGCCAGAGUGGUUACCCAUUUCAAGCAGUGGGCACUGACACCCCAUUUGGGGAUCGCUAUGUCUUAAGGUACGUCGGACGUAUGCGAAUCCAAGCAUCUGAAGGUGCCAAAUGUGAGCUGAAGCAACAUUAGGAACAAGCUAGAUUGUCUGCUCGUGCAUCAGCCUGUGGAACUGUUAAAGCCAGCAACCUGAAUCAUGAAGCGACCAAUAUGUGAUAACAAUCAUAAGCGAAUCUCCAGGAAGUGCAUUAAAGCAUUCGUUUAUGUAGUGGUGUUACUGAUUUGAUUGAUAAAAAAUUAUUUGAAAUGCUCGUCCA